GUCUAGAAGCAUCGACAAUGGGGGAAACCCUGAUCGUGCGACGCCGCGUGCAGGACGAAGGUCUUCGGAUCGUAAACUGCUUUCGCCAGGGGAGAAGGGUGCAUCGGUGAAUAGCCGAAGCAUUUGACGGUACCUGGUAAAGAAGCUCCGGCUAAGUCCGUGCCAGCAGCCGCGGUAAUACGGGCGGAGCAAGCGUUGUUCGGAUUUAUUGGGUGUAAAGGGUGCGCAGGCGGUCGACUAAGUCAGAAGUGAAAUGUCUACGGCUCAACCGAGACACUGCUCCUGAUACUGGUUGACUUGAGUGCGGAAGGGGAGCGUGGAAUUCCUGGUGUAGCGGUGAAAUGCGUAGAUAUCAGGAGGAACACCGGUGGCGAAGGCGACGCUCUGGUCCGUAACUGACGCUCAUGCACGAAAGCCAGGGGAGCGAACGGGAUUAGAAACCCCUGUAGUCC
rnacentral:rRNA from 1 species